UUUGUUGGAAGUGUGCUGCUGUCGCAGCUGCCUAUUUUGUGUGAAUACACUUUUCCAAGAGAGGGGGAAUGUAAGCGGUGUAUGUGCCAGGACCCGAGGCCCGGCUUUUGUGGAACAGGUCGUGACCAUAGACGCUCUGCUCUGCACUACAGGCCCCCUCUUCAGCUGUUGUUACUCUCUACACUGGGCACAAACAUUCUCUGUGGAGAGAGAAGAAGAGAUUACAUUGAUGUCGACAACGAUGGGUGCAGCCUACCACGGUCUGAAGAAGUUAAUGUUAAGGUUAAGAAGUUAAUGUUAAUGUUAAGAAGCUAAUGUUAAGGAAGUCACACUGCUUGCUUAGCGAGUACCGUUUCCUCCUGAUUCGGCUCAUACCAAGGCUCAAACCCAGCACCUCUGCCUCGCUAACACCCCUGACCACCCUCCAGAAGCAUCUUACCCUGUUGCGCCACCAAAAAGCUAGCUAUUCGGCAGCACCAGUAGAGACAUUUCAGGCUGAGGAGUGAGUUUCACAGAUCGCCAUCUGCUACAUUCACCCCCCAAACCCACUCCACAGCGACCCCAGCAUUGAGCUGAGCACAACUGAUGAUCCGGAACACAGCACCAUUGUAAAAGACGUCAUGCUGCUUGCUUAGCGAUUACCGCUUCCUCCUGAUUCAUUCAUACCGAGGCUCGAACCCAGGACCUCUGCCUCGACACGUAACCGCCCUCCUGAAGCGUCUUAUACAGUUGCGCCACUGAAAAAGUUGCUAUUCAGCAGCGCAAGUGGAGACUCUUCAAGCUGAGGAGUGAGUUUUACAGAUUGCCAUCUGCUACACUAACUUGUUUUUCCAAUUCAUUUCUGCAUGGAUAAAUAGCAAAAUUGCAUGCUCACAUGAAGAUGCAAACUGACAAUAUUGAGGAUAAAGUGUUUGAAACAUUCAAAGAUUCACUGAAGUUUAACUUUGAGUGAAACAAAUGUAUAAAUGACAACCAAUAUUUCCUCCUCAUCAUGCCUUUAAUAAACAUCUCUACUGAUA